rnacentral:lncRNA from 1 species
AAGAGACAUUGGAGAGAAUCGGAGCAAGAAAAACCCCAAAACGUUGCAUGGAACUUCACUUCAUAACUUAGUCAUCAGAAAACAGCAGAGAAUCGGCAGCACAGUGAGAAUCGGGAAGGACGAUAUUUCCGAGAAGGUGUACCCUCGGGAGAAUCGGCGGAGAGGUGGGCUGCUGCUUGUUUUUUCCUUUCGACAUCGCUGCGCCGCCUGCGCCUUCUCGCCUCGCGGGUUCUUUUGCUGAGGGAGGCGGUGCUCGUUGGAGACGAAGAAGUGAGAGGAAGAAGCAAGUGCAGGGGGGGCUUGGGCCUCGGUGGAGUUCUGAGGUCGAAUAGAGUUUUUUUUUCUUUUUUCUUUUUCAAAAGAAAGUCUCACACGGUUACGAUAUUAUUAAAUUAUUAAUCAUCAUACAGAUCUCAAAUACAGACCAAUAAAAAAAAAUUAUUGCACCAUCCAAAUCGGUCCGUCGCCCGUGUCCAAUCGGUUGCACCAAAAUUUCACAAAAUGCUUGGCCACCAUCGGAAGCAGAAGGGACAAGUACGGAGUCGGUGAGCCACUCUGAGACAACCUG